rnacentral:rRNA from 1 species
UGAGUAACCUGCCCUUAACUCUGGGAUAGGCCUGGGAAACUGGGUCUAAUACCGGAUAUGACUCCUCAUCGCAUGGUGGGGGUGGAAAGCUUUUUGUGGUUUUGGAUGGACUCGCGGCCUAUCAGCUAGUUGGUGAGGUAACGGCCCACCAAGGCGACGACGGGUAGCCGGCCUGAGAGGGUGACCGGCCACACUGGGACUGAGACACGGCCCAGACUCCUACGGGAGGCAG